GACGAACGCUGGCGGCGUGCUUAACACAUGCAAGUCGAACGGAAAGGCCCUGCUUUUGUGGGGUGCUCGAGUGGCGAACGGGUGAGUAACACGUGAGUAACCUGCCCUUGACUUUGGGAUAACUUCAGGAAACUGGGGCUAAUACCGGAUAGGAGCUCCUGCUGCAUGGUGGGGGUUGGAAAGUUUCGGCGGUUGGGGAUGGACUCGCGGCUUAUCAGCUUGUUGGUGGGGUAGUGGCUUACCAAGACUUUGACGGGUAGCCGGCCUGAGAGGGUGACCGGCCACAUUGGGACUGAGAUACGGCCCAGACUCCUACGGGAGGCAGCAGUGGGGAAUAUUGCACAAUGGGCGGAAGCCUGAUGCAGCAACGCCACGUGCGGGAUGACGGCCUUCGGGUUGUAAACCGCUUUCGCCUGUGACGAAGCGUGAGUGACGGUAAUGGGUAAAGAAGCACCGGCUAACUACGUG
rnacentral:rRNA from 1 species